rnacentral:hammerhead_ribozyme from 1 species
GCACUGUUGAAGAGUCCCACAAUAGGACGAAACGGCCGUCGAGUAU